UACGUAGGGUGCAGGCGUUAAUCGGAAUUACUGGGCGUAAAGCGUGCGCAGGCGGUUUCUUAAGUCAGAUGUGAAAGCCCCGGGCUUAACCUGGGAACUGCGUUUGAAACUGGGAGACUUGAGUGUGGCAGAGGGGGGUGGAAUUCCAGGUGUAGCAGUGAAAUGCGUAGAGAUCUGGAGGAACACCGAUGGCGAAGGCAGCCCCCUGGGUUAACACUGACGCUCAUGCACGAAAGCGUGGGGAGCAAACAGG
rnacentral:rRNA from 1 species